rnacentral:rRNA from 1 species
UACAGAGGUCUCAAGCGUUGUUCGGAUUCAUUGGGCGUAAAGGGUGCGUAGGCGGCGCGGUAAGUCGGGUGUGAAAUCUCGGAGCUUAACUCCGAAACUGCAUUCGAUACUGCCGUGCUUGAGGACUGGAGAGGAGACUGGAAUUUACGGUGUAGCGGUGAAAUGCGUAGAUAUCGUAAGGAAGACCAGUGGCGAAGGCGGGUCUCUGGACAGUUCCUGACACUGAGACACGAAGGCCAGGGGAGCAAACGGGG